rnacentral:misc_RNA from 1 species
GUGAAUCAUCAAAUUUUUGAACGCAAAUUGCACUCUCCUCUGAGAUUGGGCCUGUUUGAGGGUCAGCCUAUAAAAAUCGACAUCGUUGCUGUUUCUUUGUGGCGUUCGUCGGACAUUGGGUCAUCUUAUAUCCUUUUGAUUUCAGCGACUUACAAUUUUCUUUUGGUUCCAUGAACGUUUCUUGGUUCUCUUUCUUUACACGUUGAAGGUCUCGAUUUUUACUAGACUUGCCCCUCAUCUCGGAUCGCGUCCCUACUCUUUCCUUCACUUCC